CAUUGCCUAGGAAAUGUACAUUUAUGGUGUUUGCUUCUUAUUGCAAAGAACUUAAGGAUUUUUGAGUCUGUUGGUAAACAUGGUUUGUGCUUUAUUGUUUCAUAAAUUUACAUCUGAAGAAUUCUGAUAUAAGGGUUCAUACUUGCUCACUACAUUGUUUUCAAGGGAGACUAAGUUUUCUAAAAGUUAAAAUUCUGCUAUGUCUAUAGACCGAUAGGAAUGAGGGGAAAAUUCUGUGUGUAGAAAACUAGGAGAUAUGUUGCAAAAAACUAAGGAAUGGAAAUGCAUUUAGACUGAAAGUAAAAGUAGGAUAUUUUGAAAUAAGUAAGACGGGUUGUUUGGAAAGAUAGGACACGGUACAAAAUGUAGAUGCAAAGCUAGAGUUAAGGUUAGAGACCAGGAAUUUGGAGGGCCGUAUCUGCCAUCAGCGAGGGUUGGGUUUAAUGUUGGGGUGUGGAUUAGGGGUUAGGGUUAGGCCUCACGAGUUUGGAUGGUCCUAUCUGCCUACCUGGUGGAGACCCCCCAGGGGGCUGAGUUGAGGAUGAGGCUCAGCGUGAGGCUCGGGCUCGGAGCUCAUGUGCAGGGGAGCGCUGCACAUUGGCCUGGGCUCAGGGGGCCCUUAGUCUAUCUCCACUUCCUCCUAUCUACCCCUCAUACAAAUGGCACUUUGUCCAACCUGAGGGUUGGCUGACCUUUAUGGUGUCACUCGCUAGUCCCCAUGUGUGUGUGUGUGUAAAAUCAUAAAUAUAUAUUAUAUAGAAUCAUAAUUUGCUGUUAUCUAUCUCACCCAUUUCACUUGGCAUAAUGCCUUCAAAGCCCAGCAUAGUCAUCCCACGUAGCAGGGGUUCCUUUCCCGCAGCCGACUCCUGUUCCCUUAUAGCUAACACGUUUUUAUCCACUCACCGCUGAUGGGCAUGGGUGUGCUCGUGUCUUGGUUGUUGAAAAUAGUGCUUUCUGCUCAUGGAGGUGAAAGCAUUUCCUGGACAUAUUCUUCUGUUUUCUAUGGAUAUGGUCCCAGAAGUGGAACUGCUCAAUCAUAUGGCAGUUCAAUUUUUAAACUUUGAGGAAGCACCAUAUGUGUCGCACAGUGACUGUACCAAUGUGCGAUCCCAACAGUAGAGCCCAAGGCUUCCCUUCUCUCCACAUUCUCAGCAGCAGUUCUCAUCUCUUGUCUUUUUUUAUGAUAGCUCUUCCAAUGGAUGUGAUGUGAUGUCUCAUUGUGGGCUUGACUUGCAUUUUUCUUAUGGUGAGUCAUGUUGUCUACCUGUUUAUCAUGUGUUUAUUUUCUCUAGGAAAAUGCCAGAGUAUGCUGUGUCUGGGGUCCAGGGACAAGACUGGUCUCCACAGGACCUUCAGGAUCCUCCUUUAGAUAGGCAUGGGUGGCUGCAGGGUCACUCUUCUGGCUGAGGCGAGGUCCCAAAUUUGUAAAGAGGACACCAAUGGAGAGGACAGGGAAGGGAGGAAAGGGAGGCUUCUGAGGUCCUUUACUCUGCCCUUGGAGCCUAUAGGUCCUGCUCCUUUGCCCCUGUGAUUCUGGAAAGUCACCGCCUUGAGGACACACAAAUAAAGCUGUCCUUUUCUUUGGUGGUGUGCUACCCAGGGCUGUAAUGCUAGAGCUGGAGAACACGAUGCAGGAGGCCUCCUUUUUGCAAUGGUACCUAGGGACCUCUGCUGGAAGCACUGCAGAGGAAAGACUGCUGCAGAGGCCAUUGUGGUCAUGCCCCUGCCCAGAGACAACUUGAUACUGUUAGUGGCAUUUCUCCCUGCAGUCGAGGUGGUUGAAAGGGGAGGUGGGUUCCAAGAACUUUUCAUUGAUUCAUUCCAUAACUAGGCACUAAGCACGCACCCUAUGCCAGAUACCUUGGUGGGCCCAUGGGUGGAGCUAAAAAUACAAGCUCUCUGCCUUUAGGAACUCACACUCUGAAGAUGGACAAAAGCACAAAAACAAAGACACGUGAAAGAAAAGAGCAAGGCUAUAUGCUACACAAGACUGUGUGUUGUGACUGAAGCCUGGGGAGUCAUGGAAGAGAAAGGUAUGAAAGGUCUCCCUGAGGGUGACAUUGCUGAGAACAGAAUAACAAAAGGGAGUUCAAUCUGCACACGUCUGGGCGCAGUGUGCCGGGAAGAAGGGACCCCUGCUGCAGAUACUCACUACCAGGAGCUGGUGUGGCCAGAGGAGGUGAAAAGGCAGCCGGCGAGGCUGCAGGGAAACGAGGAGGAGAUCUGAGGAGAGGGAAGAGGGCAGGGAGAGAUGUGAGGCCUGGUAGACCGUUAGUUGUCUCUCGUUCCUCUGCUCCUAUAUUGCCCCAAUACCUCGCAUCUUACACAUCGUAUAUGUAAUUUCUCACUGGUUCUGUGGAUGAGGAGUCCAAGCACAAAUUAGCUUGGUUCCUCAGUCUCAACGUACGCCAGAGGCUGCGGCUGUGGCCUCAUGGGAGGCUAGCCUGGCAAGGCAGAGGAUUUUCUGCCAAGUGGACUCAGUUCUCUGCCAUGUAAGCCUCUACAUGGCAGCUCAAAACCUCUCUGGUUGAUUUUUGGUUCAGGGAUAGAGAAGAAAAUGGGAAAGAGAGUGAAGUGGAACAGGAGAGGAAGUAACUAGGAAGUGAGAGGCGAUUUCCCAUUGGAACUUAGAUGUGACACGCCAUCACGUUGGCCGUAUCCUACUGGUCAGAAGCCAGGCACUAAGCACCUUGGGGUUACACAGGGAUACCUAUGCCACAGGUCAGGGUUGCUGGGAGUCAUUAUGAAGGCUGCAGCUCAGAGGCCAAAACAAGGCAACUGGGUCUCGUUCUAAAUAUGACAGGAAACAAUCGGACAGUUUUAUUACAGAAGAUGACAAUGUCUGCAUCUUGCAGCAUUCCAUCCCAUUGCGGUGCCCCCAUUAGAAUGAGGCCAGAGGGAAAGUGACCAUCGUGACAGUACGUUGCUGGAACCCAGGCCACUUUUGAGUGGUACUCCAUGGCUCAUCCCACCCCUUCUUGUCAAUCUUCCAUCUUUAAAUCUGCACCUCAGAUACACAGGAUACCAGCCCACAUGGAUUAUAAAUAUCACCCAUAGACACCUGAUGAUGUCCCUAGGAAAUAGAUUCUAGCCUGACCCCCACUGUGCAGGUUGGGAAACUGGGGACUAUGUGAGAGACACAGGGGGUUAGGUAGGACACAGAACUGGGAAGAUAGAGAAAUAAAGUUCUGAAUUCAACUCCGUCUCCGUAAAGGUAGGACCUUACUUGCAUAUUCAGAGAGUUGUGGGUGUGGCAUUUUUGGCUCAUCAUGUACAGUUAAGGAGAUGACAUGGGGUAAGCAGUCAUCUGCCAAGAAGGGGCUCUGGAUGGGUCUGACUGAAGGCAGGGGCCCAGGUGCUGGAAUCUUGAAAAAGUCACCUCACUUCCUUGGUGACAGGCCCACAACUGACUUAGAACUCUGGUAACCAGGAACCUGCAUUUUAGACCUUCUUGCUUUCCAGCUGGAGGCGGUCAAGAGAACACAAUGUUCUGUUGCUGUAUUCCUACUUUCAGGCACUCUGGGCUCAGGAGAGUCCAGAGUGAGAGAUUUUCAUGUUGCUGUUGACGUCAGCUGGGCCCACUUCUCUGAAGCUUCUGGUCAUGUGGCGGGAGACACCAACGUGUACCACAAGGCAGCUUGGGGCAGCCCAUGGGAGAGCAGACCACACUGUGAUCUCACCUGAGUGGGCCCACACCUCUUACCCUUCACUGUAUGUGUGUGUGUGGAGAGGGGACAGAGGAGAGGAACAUGCCCUUCCUGGGCAGAAACCAACUGCCAGGUGUUGGAAGCCUGACACAUCUCUUGUGUUCAGACCCCAGGUCAUAGCAGGCAAGAUGAGAAGAGCUGCACCCAGGAGAUCUUAGAGGAGACGGUCUGUGGCUUCAACUAUUCCAACUCCCUAGACAAUUAUCAGGUGCACCAGGCCACCAAGGAUCAGUGCUGUUCUAAGGUGAGAAUGGGAAGAGGGUUCUCCACACAAAUAUGGCCCCAAUGCAAACUUGGGGAGAAACCUGGGGCCCUCCCAUAGCGUUUCCACAUGAGUGUCCCACAGGCCCAACCGCAAAGAGAUCUGAACCCCCACGCCUAACCUCCAGCUACGUAAUGAGGUGGGAAGACACUCUUCACCUAUGCUGGAAUGGUGCAGAAUACAUGUAAUGUUUUUGAGGACUUGGGGGAGGUUGUUUUGUUUUUCACAAAGCAAUGAGUAUCUUUGCAGUUUACUACUGUUUUUAUGAUUUCACCUACUCGUCCCAGAUAGCCUGUGUAGAACCCAGCUCCACUGUCCCUGCAGAACUUCUCCAAGCCCUUACAAAUCAUCACACUAAAGAGGAUGAUUUAACACAAAAGGAAGGGUGGGAUGAAGCCAUUCUAUAUGUUUCUCUGUAACGUGUCCUCUCUCAGAACACAUCAGAUCAUUGUAGGCCCAACAGGUCAUGAGCUGUGUCCUUAUAGGUCCUCGUAGCACUCCAAGAAAUGAGGCCGUCUGCCACAGUGAUUCAGCCUUUCAAGGCCUUGGUACUUGACCUGAUGCCAUUCUCUUGCCAUUUCUGCAGUGCUGCAAGGAAUGCCUCAUGUGUCCCCACAGACCAUUUUAGUUGCUAGAUCUGCCAUAACAUGGAACCCUGAUUAGGAGGAAGGAGUCUGAUGCCUCGUGGCCCCGGUAGCUGGCUCUGUCUUUUUUAGAGAUUCACUCAGGAAAUCUUUGAUGAGCUGCUCCAAGGGUUCAACUACUCCAUCUCCCCUGACAAGCACAGGUGCAUCAGGCCACCAACUACAUCAACCUACAUCAAGUGCCGGUCUGGGGCGAGAACAGGUCCACAUUCAUGUCCAAUGUCAAGACCUAGAGAUGAUCAGGGCAAGCCCAGAAUGCAGACUAGAAACAACUGGCUCCCCUGGGGUCUGCUGAGGAAGGUGGUUUUCCCCUGAGCCUUUCUCCUCAUGUCAGGAACAGAUCAAGCCAUAUCAGCCCAGGGGAAAUGCCGUGCAGCCCAUGCUUUGGACAAUUCUCAGGCUGAACGUAUGUGAUCUUGAGCAGCAUUUGAGGUUCUAACCCGUUGUGUUCUCCUAUUGGCAGUGGGGAUGUUUACUGAUGACUCAAUGGCGAACCGGUCUUCAUAAAGGCUAUUAGUUGAGAGAAAUGCUGUUGUUGCUCAGCUAGCAGAAUGUGUUGAAGAUACCAGUGGUUUACCAUGUCUCCCCUAAAACCAAUGGUACUUUGAAGCCUAGAACCUUUUUCUGUGUGGGCACUCAAGUCCCUUGUCCUGUACAAUUUCCGGAGGGGAUGGGAGUCUCUGGGCUGAGCGCCAAACCUUGAUCUUCCCAGUGGUUCAUGGUUUGGAAGCUGACUACAGUGCCCCUCCUAGUCUCUCUGGUGUGAAAAGGAAUCAACCCUGUCCCUGGGUGAGACCUGCACCAUGCUGACAGGCAAGGAAGGCACAAUGGAGGAUUUCGUACAGCCACUGGUACCAUCCUUCCAGGACAGAAACCUCUCAAACAUCCCAGUCAUUUCCUGCAUAUACCAGGUGUUUACCACAGCCCAGCAGGUCCUGGGCCAGCAGUUCCACAGGGGAGUGACCACACCAUGCACAGCACAGGGGGUGAGGCUCGCCUCUAUUACAGGUAUGUUUUGGGAAUGUCACUGAACCUCUCCAAACUUCCUUUUCCUCUUCUGAAAAGUGGUGUGGUAAGAGGAUAUGGACCUCAUGGGGCUCCUAUGGGAAAUCCUGGGAGAAAACAUGGCAUAGAUUUAUCUGGUGCAUGGCUCUGUAGAAAGGGCUGCUGGGCAUCUUCAUGUGCAGCAGUUCUCUCUCCCCAGCGAAGAAGCUCUCCACAUCAAUCCUCAUGGGCCUGUGGCACUCCUGGGUUUACAGAAGCACUUUGGGAGACUACAGGUGUCCCAUCUUGCUCUGCCUGCCCCUCUCCAUACACCUCUGCUGACCACCACACCAGGGGCCAAGAACAGAAGCUGUGGUGAGCACACCGCUCACCAAUCCGCAGCAAACCUAAGCUCUGACACUGGUCUGCAUGGAGGAUGGAGUAGAUGAGGCCCUUGGCCAUGGAGAGAAGAGGAUAAGUAGAAAAACCAGACUCAUACAGGUUUUCUGGACGACCAGACCUUCCACUGCAAGGACAGCUACGGAGGGGUUGGAAGUCAUGCUGGGGGCAUUCUCUGGGACCCACACAGGAAGAAUGGUGCUGUGGGAGUAGCAUGUGGAAGGAAAGGCCAGGCCUCUGACGCUGCUCCACAUAUGACUCUCCCCAGUACCCUCUCCCCCAUCUUGGGUACCUGGCCUGACCAGAAACUUCAGGACACCUGGCAGUCCCUGCACUGUGCCUGUUUUGAAGUAAAGGGGCCUGUGUGCACAUGAAGUUGCAUGACUGGGACCUGAAGUGCCACACCCCCCCCCCCCCCCUUAUCCUGAUGCCGUGGGAACUUCUGCAGCUCACUGAGGAGAGGCAGAGGGCAAGGGGUACUGCAGGCUGGGAAGACUCUCUGGGAUGGGGUUCAGGGGCUGGGUGUUCCUUUAAUGGCCUUGGGAUCUGUCCUGGUUUUGGAAGGGCACGGGGCAAGUCAGUCACGUGGAUGAACAUUUCUCUUUCUCUUGUGCUGGUGCCAGCUCCACAGCUCCUUCCAGCUGCAGAGCCAGAGAAAGGGCCUCCGAUGGAGCUAGCGACACCCCUAGCUCGUUUCAACCAUCACCGCAUGCGUCAGAGCCAGCAUCACUUCCAUCAGCUGUUCCAGAUCUGGAAUGAGGGCUCACGUCUUCUUCUGCAUGUGCGCCAGGUCCUGAGCUGCAGUCAGUUCGACCACCACCUUUCUUGGGAAUUGUAACUCCAGCCCUAAACAUAGAGACGGAGCCACCUCCAGGCCCAGAGGCUACCUGCCACUGGUGCAUAGCCCCCGAGCACCAGCUGCAUGAGGAGAAGCCUGGCCUCAUGGACUUCCCUCCCAUGCUGGUGGCAAAGCAAUUGCCAUCCAAAGAUGCGGUGACCAGCUGGCCCUCGGGAGGACUGGGGCAGGCUUUUUCUUCUGCUGUCUUCUGCCCCAGAUCUGCCUUUCCCUGAUGUGGGCUCAUAUGGCCGAGGUCCAAGUCUCAUCUCCAUCACUUACCAACCACAUCAACCUGUCCAGUUCCUCAAACUCAAGCUUUCACUGUCCAGUUGCAGACUGUGGCGAUAGACCCUGGGAAGAACUGAUGCAGAGUUCCUAUGUCGAUUAAAUGAGCCAGAACGGAUAGGCGAAUGGGCAGACCCUGGUUCCUUGGGUGGGGGAGGGCAACUGACUAUGUGUGGCCAAGCCCAUGGGUCGCCCACUCAUCUGCCUUGGAGGCCGAGCACCCUUGUAUUUAUUAGGCAUCUGAUGUGUGCUGAAGUACAGGGCAAGCAGACAAACCAUGGUUGUAGCUAUCCUGUGAGAAUGUGCUGCUGAAAGAGGAGUAGGACCAGAGGCAUGAACAGUUGGAGGGGAAGAUGCCCCCUCUGAGGAGCCACCUUGAACUGCCACCUGGAGCUUGAAGUUAGUGGGGAUGAUCAGGGUGCAAAUGCCCUCCUUCCUUCCCUGCCAGUAUCUGCUCCUGGCUCAUCUUGUGCUGGGUAUAAUGCUGAGUGAAGUAAGUCCAUCGGGGAAGGACAAUCAUCAUGUGGUUUCACUCAUACAGGGAAUGUAAGAAAUAAAAGGGAUGAUGAAGGAAAGGAGGGAAAAUGAGUGGAAAAAAUAGAGAGGGUGACAAACCGUGAGAGACCCCUAACUCUGGGAAACAAACAAAGGGUU